rnacentral:misc_RNA from 1 species
GUGAACGCCCUCACGGGCUUAUACUAUUCCAAACCUCUGUAAACCGUGCCCUUCGGGGCUAUUUUACAAACAUGGUGUAAUGAACGUCAUAUAUCAUAACAAAACA